GAUGAACGCUGGCGGCGUGCCUAAUACAUGCAAGUCGAGCGAACAGACGAGGAGCUUGCUCCUCUGACGUUAGCGGCGGACGGGUGAGUAACACGUGGAUAACCUACCUAUAAGACUGGGAUAACUUCGGGAAACCGGAGCUAAUACCGGAUAAUAUAUUGAACCGCAUGGUUCAAUAGUGAAAGACGGUUUUGCUGUCACUUAUAGAUGGAUCCGCGCCGCAUUAGCUAGUUGGUAAGGUAACGGCUUACCAAGGCAACGAUGCGUAGCCGACCUGAGAGGGUGAUCGGCCACACUGGAACUGAGACACGGUCCAGACUCCUAAGGGAGGCAGCAGUAGGGAAUCUUCCGCAGUGGGCGAAAGCCUGACGGAGCAACGCCGCGUGAGUGAUGAAGGUCUUCGGAUCGUAAAACUCUGUUAUUAGGGAAGAACAAAUGUGUAAGUAACUAUGCACGUCUUGACGGUACCUAAUCAGAAAGCCACGGCUAACUACGU
rnacentral:rRNA from 1 species